AGAGUUUGAUCCUGGCUCAGAUUGAACGCUGGCGGCAUGCCUUACACAUGCAAGUCGAACGGCAGCACGGACUUCGGUCUGGUGGCGAGUGGCGAACGGGUGAGUAAUGCAUCGGAACGUGCCCUGAGGUGGGGGAUAACGUAGCGAAAGUUACGCUAAUACCGCAUAUUCUGUGAGCAGGAAAGCAGGGGAUCGCAAGACCUUGUGCUUUAGGAGCGGCCGAUGUCGGAUUAGCUAGUUGGUGAGGUAAAGGCUCACCAAGGCAACGAUCCGUAGCGGGUCUGAGAGGAUGAUCCGCCACACUGGGACUGAGACACGGCCCAGACUCCUACGGGAGGCAGCAGUGGGGAAUUUUGGACAAUGGGCGCAAGCCUGAUCCAGCCAUGCCGCGUGAGUGAAGAAGGCCUUCGGGUUGUAAAGCUCUUUCGGCGGGGAAGAAAUCGCAUUCACUAAUACUGGAUGUGGAUGACGGUACCCGAAUAAGAAGCACCGGCUAACUACNNNNCNGNCGCCGCGGUAAUAC
rnacentral:rRNA from 1 species